GGUGUUUUUCAUUCCACCUAAAUCGAAAUGU
rfam:Beet soil-borne virus RNA1 for 145 kDa protein, and 204 kDa protein.